rnacentral:rRNA from 1 species
AGAGUUUGAUCAUGGCUCAGGAUGAACGCUGGCGGCGUGGAUAAGGCAUGCAAGUCGAACGGACUAGUCCACUGAAACUUACGAGUACACUUUGAGUAGCAAUACGAUUGGUGUACAAAUGAGCGGAUGUGGUUCGCUAGUUAGUGGCAAACGAGGUAGUAACACGUGGAUACGUACUCUCAAGUCGCGAAUAACCCACCGAAAGGUGAGCUAAUACGCGAUGGUCCCUCCGGGGUAAAGUUUUAACGCUUGAGAAACGGUCUGCGGAGUAUCAGCUAGUUGGCGGUGUAAUGGACCACCAAGGCUAUGACGCUUAGGGGAGCUGAGAGGCUGACCCUCACCGAUGGGACUGAGACACGGCCCAUACACCUACGGGUGGCUGCAGUCGAGAAUCUUCCACAAUGGACGAAAGUCUGAUGGAGCGACGCCGCGUGAUUGAUGAAGUGCUUCGGCACGUAAAGAUCUUUUAUGAGGGAAGAAGUUUAUUGACGGUACCUCAUGAAUAAGGGGCUCCUAACUCUGUGCCAGCAGGAGCGGUAAUACAGAGGCCCCGAGCGUUAUCCGGAAUUAUUGGGCGUAAAGGGUGUGUAGGUGGCGCUGUUAGUCGUUUUUGAAAGCCCGGGGCUCAACCUCGGGAACGGGGGCGAAACGGCAGUGCUUGAGUGGAGAAGAGGUAAACAGAACUCUCUGUGUAGGGGUGAAAUCCGUUGAUAUAGAGGGGAAUACCAAAAGCGAAGGCAGUUUACUGGUCUCUUACUGACACUGAAACACGAAAGCGUGGGUAGCGAAUGGGAUUAGAUACCCCAGUAGUCC